GCGGGGUUUUCGCCGCAGCAGCUGCUCUCGGCGGCCCUCCGCGCGCGGGCCCCUCGCCGCCGGCGGGCCCCGGUGCGAGCAGAGGCGGCGGGGGCCGGCCCCGCGUUCAGCCGGCCCGGGGCAGCUGCGACCGCGGCCCCUCAAGGUGCGCGCGGGGCAGGGAGGAGGCCGAGGAGGGGCCCGCUGCGAGCGUGCCCGCGUGGCGCUGCGGACCCCUUCCGCCCCCUCCUCGUUACCGUCCGUUUCGAGCUACUGCUCGUGCUACACGCAGACAGAAAUUGGAGCUCCUCAGCCGUAGUAAGGUCCAGCGGCACCCCGAGGUGUACCUGAUAUCAAUUCUCCUAUGUGGAUACGCUGUUCCAUCUUCUUUAUUUGGCAGCUGACAGACACCCUGAGAGAAGUUUUCAACUCUCAAGCAACAAAUCUACAGAAGCAACACAAGAAACAUAGCAUCACUUGGAAUUCUCAAGAGUUAGCCGCAACAGAUGAAGGAAGGCACAUCCGCUAUCGCAGUACUAUUGUGAAACAGGCAGCUUGACAAAAGAAACUUUAUUGGAGUGUGAACUGAUGACCCGAAGUUACACUCACCCUCUAAAGUUUUAAUUCCUUCCUCAACAAACUUCCUGG